AUUGAACGCUGGCGGCAGGCCUAACACAUGCAAGUCGAACGAGUGGCGGACGGGUGAGUAAUGUCUGGGAAACUGCCCGAUGGAGGGGGAUAACUACUGGAAACGGUAGCUAAUACCGCAUACCAUCGGAUGUGCCCAGAUGGGAUUAGGUAGGAGGUGGGGUAACGGCUCACCUAGGCGACGAUCCCUAGCUGGUCCGAGAGGAUGACCCGCCACACUGGAACGGAGACACGGUCCAGAGUCCUACGGGAGGCAGCAGUGGGGAAUAUUGCACAAUGGGCGAAAGCCUGAUGCAGCCAUGCCGCGUGGAUGAAGAAGGCCUUCGGGUUGUAAAGUUCUUUCAGCGAGGAGGCGUUACUCGCAGAAGAAGCACCGGCUAACUACGUGCCAGCAGCCGCGGUAAUUC
rnacentral:rRNA from 1 species